rnacentral:rRNA from 1 species
UUGAACGCUGGCGGCAUGCCUUACACAUGCAAGUCGAACGGCAGCACGGGAGCAAUCCUGGUGGCGAGUGGCGAACGGGUGAGUAAUGUAUCGGAACGUACCUUUCAGUGGGGGAUAACGUAGCGAAAGUUACGCUAAUACCGCAUAUUCUGUGAGCAGGAAAGCAGGGGAUCGCAAGACCUUGCGCUGAUUGAGCGGCCGAUAUCAGAUUAGCUAGUUGGUGAGGUAAAGGCUCACCAAGGCGACGAUCUGUAGCGGGUCUGAGAGGAUGAUCCGCCACACUGGAACUGAGACACGGUGCAGACUCCUACGGGAGGGAGCAGUGGGGAAUUUUGGACAAUGGGCGCAAGCCUGAUCCAGCCAUGCCGCGUGCGGGAAGAAGGCCUUCGGGUUGUAAACCGCUUUUGUCAGGGAAGAAACGGUCUGGGCUAAUACCCUGGGCUAAUGACGGUACCUGAAGAAUAAGCACCGGCUAACUACGU